rnacentral:rRNA from 1 species
GACGAACGCUGGCGGCGUGCUUAACACAUGCAAGUCGAGCGGUAAGGCCCUUUCGGGGGUACACGAGCGGCGAACGGGUGAGUAACACGUGGGUGACCUGCCCUCAGCUCUGGGAUAAGCCUGGGAAACCGGGUCUAAUACUGGAUAUGACUCCAUGACGCAUGUUGUGGGGUGGAAAGCCUUGUGCGGCUGAGGAUGGGCCCGCGGCCUAUCAGCUUGUUGGUGGGGGAUGGCCUACCAAGGCGACGACGGGUAGCCGGCCUGAGAGGGCGACCGGCCACACUGGGACUGAGACACGGCCCAGACUCCUACGGGAGGCAGCAGUGGGGAAUCUUGCGCAAUGGGCGAAAGCCUGACGCAGCGACGCCGCGUGAGGGAUGACGGCCUGGUGU